GAGUUUGAUCCUGGCUCAGAUAUGAACGUUGGCGGCGUGGAUUAGGCAUGCAAGUCGAGCGAGAAACCAACUAGCUUGCUAUGAGGUGGACAGCGGCGAAAGGGAGAGUAACGCGUGGUUACGUGCCCUCGGGACUGGGAUAGCGUCGGGGAACUGGCGGUAAUACCGGAUAACAUCUUUGGAUCAAAUGGUGAGAUUCCGCCCGAGGAUCGGACCGCGUACUAUUAGCUUGUUGGCGGGGUAACGGCCCACCAAGGCUGCGAUGGUUACCGGGUGUGAGAGCAUGGCCCGGCUCACUGGGACUGAGACACUGCCCAGACAUCUACGGAUGGCUGCAGUCGAGAAUCUUCGGCAAUGGACGCAAGUCUGACCGAGCGACGCCGCGUGCGGGAUGAAGGCCCUCGGGUUGUAAACCGCUGUCAGUUAGGAGGAAAUCCAUGGGGGUUCUCCCUCAUGGUUGACCGAUUUUCAGAGGAAGGACGGGCUAAGUUCGUGCCAGCAGCCGCGGUAACACGAACCGUCCGAACGUUAUUCGGUAUCACUGGGCUUAAAGCGUGCGUAGCGGCUUGGUAGUGAGAUGUGAAA
rnacentral:rRNA from 1 species